CAAAACUUUAGCUAUAACUUUAUAAUUAAGUAAGCUUUACCAAAAUAUUUUUAGCUUUAAAGUAAUAUGAUAAGAAAUUAAUUUGAGUAGUAUUGAAAAGUACCGUGAGGGAUUAUUAAAAUAAUGUAUAUUAUAGUUAGAAAAAAGCAGCUUAAAUAGCUUACCUUUUGUAUUAUGGUUAUUUUAAUUAACUGAGAAGGCUCUCUAAGAACGAAAUAAGUUGAGCUACUUUAAUUCUCCAAUUUAGUUGGUACCCCUAUGUGUAGCAAAAUUAUGGGAAGAGAAUAAAGUAGAGGCGAAACACCAAACGAAACUUAUGAUAGCUUUAUUUUAAGGAAAAAGAUUUAAGUUUCCAAAAGGGUUAGCUGAGGAAGAACUUAUUGGUUGAUCAGUAAGUUCUAGAAAAAAAUAAUUUUUAACUCUAAAAUAAGCCAAUUACAAACUAUAUGAUUAAUUAAGUAGGGCUUAAGUACCUUUCUUACGAAGUGCAUUUGAGCUUAGUUACAGUGUAACAACAAUUCUUGGUUAUAUCACGCUGUAUUUAGUAAUAUUUACUUAAAAAUUUUCGAGUUGAAAACUAAUAAUGAAUAAAUAAGUAAAACAUAAGCCUUUUAAUAAAAUAAAAGUUUAAAGUAAAAUAAGAUGAUCUUUAGUUAAGUCUUUUUCUUAUUAAAGUAGCUAAUAUAAUAAUAAAUAGAGGGAAGGAACUCGGCAAAUAUCAAUCACGCCUGUUUACCAAAAACAUCACCCUUGGUAUUGAUCAAAGGGCUCUGCCUGCCCAGUGACUCUCUGGAGUUAAACGGCUGCAGUACUCUGACUGUGCAAAGGUAGCAUAAUCAUUUGCCUAUUAAUUGUAGGCUAGUAUCAACGGCUAGACGAUGGAAAUGCUGUCUCCCUUUUAUUUAGAUUUUAACUUGUCGUUUAGGUGAAGAGACCUUAAUUCAUAAGUGGGACGAGAAGACCCUAUAGAGCUUUAUCUCUUUAUAACAAGGUAUAGUUGUAAAUAGAUUUAGUUGGGGCAACAGCUUUUAGUUAAAACAAAAGCCAAACUAGCCAGAGGAUUGAACCUAAUAUCAUUUCUGACCCAAAAUAAUUUGAUUAUGAGAACAAGUUACCUUAGGGAUAACAGCGUAAUUUUUCUUGAGAGUACACAUUGACAGAUAAGUUUGCGACCUCGAUGUUGGAUCAGGCACUCCUAAGGGUGCAGCAGCCCUUAAAGGUUGGUUUGUUCAACCAUUAAAAGCCUACGUGAUCUGAGUUCAGUCCGUCGUGAGACAGGACAGUUUCUAUCUACUACUAAAACCUUUUUUUGUACGAAAGGAAUUGAAAGGAAAAAAUAAAAGCUUUAGCUUCUUUUUUAUUAAACAAUUCGAAUAAAUAAAAUUUUUC
rnacentral:rRNA from 1 species